UACGAAGGGGGCUAGCGUUGUUCGGAAUUACUGGGCGUAAAGCGCACGUAGGCGGAUUGUUAAGUUAGGGGUGAAAUCCCGGGGCUCAACCCCGGAACUGCCUUUAAUACUGGCAAUCUCGAGUCCGAGAGAGGUGAGUGGAAUUCCGAGUGUAGAGGUGAAAUUCGUAGAUAUUCGCAAGAACACCAGUGGCGAAGGCGGCUCACUGGCCCGGUACUGACGCUGAGGCACGAAAGCGUGGGGAGCAAACAGG
rnacentral:rRNA from 1 species